rnacentral:piRNA from 1 species
UCAUAAGUGUCUUGAACGACGGGAAUGA